rnacentral:rRNA from 1 species
GAUUGAACGCUGGCGGAAUGCUUUACACAUGCAAGUCGAACGGCAGCACGGGGGCAGCCCUGGUGGCGAGUGGCGAACGGGUGAGUAAUACAUCGGAACGUGCCCGGUCGUGGGGGAUAACGUAGCGAAAGUUACGCUAAUACCGCAUACGAUCUGAGGAUGAAAGCGGGGGACCUUCGGGCCUCGCGCGAUCGGAGCGGCCGAUGUCAGAUUAGGUAGUUGGUGGGGUAAAGGCCUACCAAGCCGACGAUCUGUAGCUGGUCUGAGAGGACGACCAGCCACACUGGGACUGAGACACGGCCCAGACUCCUACGGGAGGCAGCAGUGGGGAAUUUUGGACAAUGGGCGCAAGCCUGAUCCAGCCAUUCCGCGUGCAGGACGAAGGCCUUCGGGUUGUAAACUGCUUUUGUACGGAACGAAAAGGCUCUGGCUAAUACCUGGGGCUCAUGACGGUACCGUAAGAAUAAGCACCGGCUAACUACGUG